rnacentral:rRNA from 1 species
UAAGCAUAUCAAUAAGCGGAGGAAAAGAAACCAACCGGGAUUGCCUCAGUAACGGCGAGUGAAGCGGCAAGAGCUCAAAUUUGAAAUCUGGCCCUUUGAGGGUCCGAGUUGUAAUUUGCAGAGGAUGCUUCGGGUGCGGUCCCCGUCUAAGUGCCCUGGAACGGGCCGUCAUAGAGGGUGAGAAUCCCGUCUGGGAUGGGCGGCCGCGCCCGUGUGAAGCGCCUUCGACGAGUCGAGUUGUUUGGGAAUGCAGCUCUAAGUGGGUGGUAAAUUUCAUCUAAAGCUAAAUACUGGCCGGAGACCGAUAGCGCACAAGUAGAGUGAUCGAAAGAUGAAAAGCACUUUGAAAAGAGAGUUAAACAGCACGUGAAAUUGUUGAAAGGGAAGCGUUGUCCACCAGACUCGCCCGGGGAGGCUCAGCCGGCACUUGUGCCGGUGUACUCUUCCUCGGGCGGGCCAGCAUCGGUUUGGGCGGCUGGUGAAAGGCCCUGGGAAUGUAACACCCUCCGGGGUGCCUUAUAGCCCAGGGUGUCAUGCGGCCAGCCUGGACCGAGGCCCGCGCUUCGGCGAGGAUGCUGGCGUAAUGGUGGUCAACGGCCCGUCUUGAAACACGGACCAAGGAGUCUAACAUCUAUGCGAGUGUUCGGGUGUCAAACCCGUCCGCGCAGUGAAAGCGAACGGAGGUGGGAGCCCCUCGGGGUGCACCAUCGACCGAUCCUGAAGUCUUCGGAUGGAUUUGAGUAAGAGCAUAGCUGUUGGGACCCGAAAGAUGGUGAACUAUGCCUGAAUAGGGCGAAGCCAGAGGAAACUCUGGUGGAGGCUCGCAGCGGUUCUGACGUGCAAAUCGAUCGUCAAAUUUGGGUAUAGGGGCGAAAGACUAAUCGAACCAUCUGGUAGCUGGUUCCUGCCGAA